ensembl:snoRNA
UGCUGGUCGUGAAGCACCUGCUCUCGGAAUUCUGGGCCCUGCCAGGGGUGAGCCAGUGGGAGCUGCCCAUCCGUCGGUCCCACCCAAGCG